rfam:Ictidomys tridecemlineatus contig101033, whole genome shotgun sequence.
AGAGAUAUAGCUCAGUUGGUAGGGUAUUUGCCUCACAUGUACAAUGCCCCGGGUUCAAUCCCCAGCACCUCCA